rnacentral:rRNA from 1 species
AUUGAACGCUGGCGGCAGGCCUAACACAUGCAAGUCGAACGAGUGGCGGACGGGUGAGUAAUGUCUGGGAACCUGCCUGAUGGAGGGGGCUAACUACUGGAAACGGUAGCUAAUACCGCAUACCAUCAGAUGUGCCCAGAUGGGAUUAGCUAGUUGGUGGGGUAACGGCUAACCAAGGCGACGAUCCCUAGCUGGUCUGAGAGGAUGACCAGCCACACUGGAACUGAGAACCGGUCAAGACUCCUACGGGAGGCAGCAGUGGGGAAUAUUGGACAAUGGGGGCAAGCCGGAUGCAGCCAUGCCGCGUGUAUGAGGAAGGCCUUCGGGUUGUAAAGUACUUUCUGCGGGGAGGCGUGACCCGCAGAAGAAGCACCGGCUAACUCCGUGCCAGCAGCCGCGGUAAUAC